GAGGCUGGGGAGGUCAGAGCUGGGAAAGACUUGAGGCGCAUCAGGGAACAGCAGAAAAAGGACAGAUGUUUCCCCCAUGAGAUAAGGAAAGUCUGUGCCGUGCAACAUGAUCUAUAAGCCAGAGGAUAGGGAUGGGCGUGCUUGCACUGCGGAAGACCUCUUUAAUGACUGGGUGAGCGGCUCCGAGCUUAGUGUAAUGUGAGCCUGAAAACCUUCUGACAUGGCUGGAAGAUUUUGCUUGGUGUUUUUACAGAAAAUAUUUGCCUUGCUCUCAUCUAUGAUGUGUGCUUAUCCCAGUGACCCACAGCAGCAGCCCAGGAGCUCCAGAGAGGCAGCAAAUCCCUGGUUCCCAGCAGCCCUGCCUGCUCCCUGCCUCACCUGAUGAUUGAGACGGGAAUGGAGAUAAACAUGGAGGAGAAGGAAGCCGCUCCCCAGCAGAACCCUUACAUGCUGUUCCUGUUGGUCCUGGUUUUCUUUGUCACAGGACUCCUUGGCUUCCUUAUCUGCCACGUGCUGAAGAAGAAAGGGUACCGCUGCCGCACAUUUCCAGAGGAGCUGGAUCCUGAGGCCAAGGAAGGGCUCAAUGAAGACCUUGAAAAUGCAGAGGAGCUGUCAAACGAAGACACAGUAGAACGUAUAGUGAAGUGCAUUAUCCAGAAUGAAGCCAAUGCCGAAGCGUUGAAGCAGAUGUUGGGCGACACUGAAGGAGAAGUGCCUAUUGUCCCCAGUCUGUGCCUGCACCGUGAAAGCCAAGAUGCAGGCCCUCCUCACCAUCACACCGUUCACCUGGGCUCAACACAAGCACCGUGUAUCCAUUGCACACGCAAGAAGAGGAGCCUGUUGCACCGCAUGGGCCGCUCUAAGGAGGGCAAGGGAAAAUCACACCCCGGGGAGGUAACGGUCUUCUCUGUUGGAAGGUUUAGAGUCACUCAUAUUGGAAAAAAGCACAGUAUUCAAGGAUCACAAGAUGGAAGCCAGGAGCCAGCAUCUUCUGACAAGAAUCAUGAGGAGCAGCCCGUGAUGAGAAAAUCUAGUAAAAGCCUCGACCAGCAGCAGGACCAGCACCAUAUUGGCACACAAGACUUGUCACACAAUGGACCCGACAUGGUGGGUUUAGCCAAACUGGAAGCUCAUAGUGAAUCAGAAGCCAAGAGUGUAGGUAACAGCAGCCUAAAGAGAUUAGAGGACCAAUUUCAAAGACAUUCUCUAAAGAAGCAGGGAACCAAAGAGAGGAGAAGCAGCGCACCAGAGAAGACAGCAGCAGAGUGGGUAAAGGUUGUGGAUAUCUGUGAAAGGGUGGAUGAGAAACAAAAAGAAACCAGACUGGAAAGUGCAGAUGAAUGGAAAAUACAGAUGACCAAGGACUGCUCACCUCAGGGACAAUGAUACUUAAGCAACUCAGAGAGGAGAACUUUCCUACAACCACUGGAACAUCAGCUACAAGAACUGAGCGGAGACAUAACAAAGCGUGGUGUUCCCAUAUGCAAUAGUGGGGUGAUUACUCUGCGCAGGAAGUAAAUGAUUGGACAGCUGUACACGGAUGGAUCUGUCACAUGACAUGCAUACCUAGAACAUUACUGAAUCUAUAAAUUGUCCACCUGUGUUUCUUUCUAUUAAGAAAUGUGCCAUGCAUGAAGAAAUUCUACUGUCACCCCCACUGAACAUCCCAGCGUGGUCUGUAGUCUUAUGUUGUAGUUUCCAAGUGUUAUAACUGCCAUUGGGAGAAUGUAAGUCAUAUUGAUUAUUCCCAUUUUAUAUUAAGCACUGAAGAGACUGGUCAGGUCCUCUAUCUAAACCCCACAUUUACCCCCUGUCAUCUACUUUUUAUCUCUGAUGGGCUGUAAUAAAUGAAAUAAAUGUUAGUUUUGUCUA